rnacentral:rRNA from 1 species
UACGUAAGGUCCGAGCGUUGUCCGGAAUUACUGGGCGUAAAGAGCUCGUAGGUGGUUUGUCGCGUUGUUCGUGAAAACUCACAGCUUAACUGUGGGCGUGCGGGCGAUACGGGCAGACUUGAGUACUGCAGGGGAGACUGGAAUUCCUGGUGUAGCGGUGGAAUGCGCAGAUAUCAGGAGGAACACCGGUGGCGAAGGCGGGUCUCUGGGCAGUAACUGACGCUGAGGAGCGAAAGCGUGGGGAGCGAACAGG